GUGCCCGUGGCUCAAUGGAUAAAGCACGAGAUUCCGGAUCUCGGGAUUGGAGGUUCGAAUCCUCUCGGGCACGCCA
rnacentral:tRNA from 2 species